rnacentral:rRNA from 1 species
UAGGGAAUCUUCCGCAAUGGACGCAAGUCUGACGGAGCAACGCCGCGUGAGUGAAGAAGGAUUUCGGUUCGUAAAACUCUGUUGUUAGAGAAGAACAGCGCAUAGAGUAACUGUUAUGCGUGUGACGGUAUCUAACCAGAAAGCCACGGCUAACUACGUGCCAGCAGCCGCGGUAAUACGUAGGUGGCAAGCGUUGUCCGGAUUUAUUGGGCGUAAAGCGAGCGCAGGCGGUCAAUUAAGUCUGAUGUGAAAGCCCCCGGCUCAACCGGGGAGGGUCAUUGGAAACUGGUUGACUUGAGUGCAGAAGAGAAGAGUGGAAUUCCAUGUGUAGCGGUGACAUGCGUAGAUAUAUGGGGGAACACCAGUGGCGAAGGCGACUCUCUGGUCUGUAACUGACGCUGAGGCUCGAAAGCGUGGGGAGCGAACAGG